rnacentral:rRNA from 1 species
UACGGAGGAUGCAAGCGUUAUCCGGAAUGAUUGGGCGUAAAGGGUCCGCAGGUGGCAGUGUAAGUCUGCUGUCAAAGAAUGAGGCUUAACCUCAUCAAGGCAGUGGAAACUACACAGCUAGAGUACGGUCGGGGUAGAAGGAAUUCCUGGUGUAGUGGUGAAAUGCGUAGAGAUCAGGAAGAACACCGGUGGCGAAAGCGUUCUGCUAGACCUGUACUGACACUGAGGGACGAAAGCUAGGGGAGCGAAUGGG